GCGGACGUGGUGGAAUCGGUAGACACACUGGAUUUAGGUUCCAGCGCCGCAAGGCGUGAGAGUUCGAGUCUCUCCGUCCGCACCA
rnacentral:tRNA from 1 species